GUGAAUUAUGGCACCAGGGUCCACAGCGCAGACACAAAUCAUGGGCCGUUAGGAACAGGGGAAAGGCAACGCCUGCCCUACUCCCCCAGCAGGAUUUAUGGGGUCCGGGCCUGGGUCUGGGUUCAAGAUGAUUGGACUUCACCAUGUUUCACUUCCCCAGAACGUUCCUGGUGGAAAGCUUGUCGCCUAGGAUUGUGCAUGUGUGAGCAUGCGUGUGUAUUUGCCACUACACGUGACUUGCUGUGGCUGUGUAGGCAGGCCUCCACCAGUGCCACAGAGAUGGUUGCAAGACAGAGCUGCCAGAAGUUGUUGCAAGAGCUCCCUAUUGGGGAGACCAAAUCUAGGAACCAGUUAUUUGAGAUGAGGCCCUGUGUCCCAGAGGAAUCAUCAGACAGGUCAAACUACUAAUUAAAGACUCAUU
rnacentral:lncRNA from 1 species